rnacentral:rRNA from 1 species
ACUCCUACGGGUGGCUGCAGUGGGGAAUAUUGCACAAUGGGCGCAAGCCUGAUGCAGCGACGCCGCGUGGGGGAUGAAGGCCUUCGGGUUGUAAACUCCUUUCGCUAGGGACGAAGCUUUUUUGUGACGGUACCUAGAUAAGAAGCACCGGCUAACUACGUGCCAGCAGCCGCGGUAAUACGUAGGGUGCGAGCGUUGUCCGGAAUUACUGGGCGUAAAGGGCUCGUAGGUGGUUUGUCGCGUCGUCUGUGAAAUUCUGGGGCUUAACUCCGGGCGUGCAGGCGAUACGGGCAUAACUUGAGUGCUGUAGGGGUAACUGGAAUUCCUGGUGUAGCGGUGAAAUGCGCAGAUAUCAGGAGGAACACCGAUGGCGAAGGCAGGUUACUGGGCAGUUACUGACGCUGAGGAGCGAAAGCAUGGGUAGCGAACAGGAUUAGAUACCCUGGUAGUCCAUGCCGUAAACGGUGGGCGCUAGGUGUGAGGGUCUUUCUACGACUUUCGUGCCGUAGCUAACGCAUUAAGCGCCCCGCCUGGGGAGUACGGCCGCAAGGCUAAAACUCAAAGGAAUUGACGGGGGCCCGCACAAGCGGCGGAGCAUGUGGGUUAAUUCGAUGCAACGCGAAAAACCUUACCUGGGCUUGACAUACACUAGAUCGCUGCAGAGAUGUAGUUUCCCUUUGUGGUUGGUGUACAGGUGAUGCAUGGCUGUCGUCAGCUCGUG